rnacentral:lncRNA from 1 species
CCAGGGACCAAGGAGAGACCCCGGGGCUUCGACACUGCCAGUCAGGACCCUCUCCAUCCCUGGAGGGGCCCGGUGCAAAAUGAAACCACGGGAUCCCUUGUCAACCAGUCUCAAGAAUUUCAGCAGCAGCCCCAGCGCCGGGCCUUCCCAAGUCAGAUCCCACACCAGAAGGCCGGGGCCCUGCAGGACCCGAGCUUGGCGGCAUCCCUCUCCUUCCCAAGUCUAGGCACCUGGAAGGGGGCGAGGAAGGGCAGAGCCGCCCCCCCGCACAUCCCUUCACACCCUUCCCAGGGCCAAGGGGGAACAUUACAGCUU